rnacentral:tRNA from 1 species
GGGGCGGUGGGAUAGUGGCCAGCCUUCCCGGAAUGGUAGCCGGGAGACCCGGGUUCGAAUCCCGGCCGCCCCA